rnacentral:rRNA from 1 species
AACGAACGCUGGCGGCAUGCCUAACACAUGCGAGUCGAACGAGAUCUUCGGGUCUAGUGGCGCACGGGUGCGUAACGCGUGGGAAUCUGCCCUUUGGUUCGGAAUAACAGUUGGAAACGACUGCUAAUACCGGAUGAUGACGAAAGUCCAAAGAUUUAUCGCCAGAGGAUGAGCCCGCGUAGGAUUAGCUAGUUGGUGUGGUAAAGGCGCACCAAGGCGACGUUCCUUAGCUGGUCUGAGAGGAUGAUCAGCCACACUGGGACUGAGACACGGCCCAGACUCCUACGGGAGGCAGCAGUGGGGAAUAUUGGACAAUGGGCGAAAGCCUGAUCCAGCAAUGCCGCGUGAGUGAUGAAGGCCUUAGGGUUGUAAAGCUCUUUUACCCGGGAUGAUAAUGACAGUACCGGGAGAAUAAGCUCCGGCUAACUCCGUGCCAGCCGCCGCGGUAA